rnacentral:lncRNA from 1 species
GAAUGAUUACAUCCAUCCCUUUUGCAGUUUUUGCAUGCUGGGAAACAUCCAGAAGCUAUUCAUAAUGGCCUGACUAUACAUCUUUGAAUGCCAUCGUUGUCAUUGUCCUCUCAAAUCCUUUUUCAAAAUUUGGCUGCAGAAGACCCAAUUUCACUUUAGAGGAAUAGCAAGCAAAUGCGCUUCAAGUUUCAAUGUGCAAACAUAUCCACAUUCUUUUAUCUCUUAGACCCCU